GCAAGCCCUGCCCCUCUCAGGCUGCAGGCAUUGCUAUUGGACUGAGUUCUAGAUGGACAGGCAUUUCCUCCAGUAGCAAGAGACCGUUGGACAGCCCAGGGUCAGCAGCACACGUCUCCAGCUGUCUCUCUUGACAGGUGCUCUAAGGUGUUGCCUCUGUUGGUAGAGCAGUUGCAGCAGGUCUCUGCAUCAUCAUACCCCUCUGUCACCCUGUCCCUGAUCAAGUUUAUAUAAUGGAGCCUGAGAGAGAUAGACAACAGCACACAGCCCGUGGCUCUGUCAUCCACUCUGCGCCGUCUGGUGAAGAGGUAUCCAGGGCUCCGACCCAGCAGCAGGACCCCAGCAGCCCCCCUUUCCAUUAAUCAAACAACCAACCAAUCACUUUUUAUUUGUAUCAUGCUUUUCAAAAAUACAUUGGUAAGCAAGUUUAUAGCAGCAACCCAGACCUAAACCCCACAGGGCAAAGCUCUCUGCCAGGUUGGCUCACUUCUAUAUCUGAAUGGAUAUUAAAUUGGUUUGUUCAUAUUGGAAGAAUAUUUCUUCAAAAUGAUGUUAUCAUGUCAGACAACGAUGUCUGGCCCAAAAAGCUUUUAAACAUUUCUGAACUAAUAAAAAAACUGUCUGCAUCAGAUCCAUAUAAUAUCUCUCGCCACAUUUGCUUACGAAGUUUUCUGGAAACCCAGACCCAUAAAUUGGUUUGGACCAGAGAGAGAGAG